UUGGACAUGUACACCUUACAAUCCUUCCAUACACCAAAUAUACUAGACCUAUUGCUUAUAGUAUCUGAGAUAUGGACUUGACCACCAAAACUUAACCUUGUUCACUGAUCCAUGAAAUGAGGUCGAGGUCAAGUGGAAACUGUCUGACGGGCAUGAGGACCUUGCAAGGUACGCACAUACUAAAUAUAGUUAUCCUAUUACUUAUAAUAAGAGAGAAUUUAACAUUACAAAAAAUUCAACUUUUUUUCAAGGAAAAUGAAAAUGAGGUCAAGGUCAUUGGACAUAUGACUGACGGAAAGUUGAGGCAUCUAUAUACAAAGUAUGAAGCAUCCAGGUCUUCCACCUUCUAAAAUAUAAAGCUUUUAGGAAGUUAUCUAAUGCCGCUGCGGCCAGAUCACUAUCCCUAUGUCUAGCUUUCUGCAACAAAAGUGGCAGGCUCGACAAAAAUUAACACUGAGCCAUGAACCGUGAGAAUGAGGUCAAGGUCAAAUAGAACAUACACAACUGACAUAAAGAUCAUAAAAUAUUUCCAUACACCAAAUAUAAUUGACCUAUUGCAUAUAGUAUUAGAAGAAAAAAAAUCAAAAACUUAACUUUGACCACUGAACCAUGAAAUGAGGUCAAGGUCAGAUGACACCUGCCAGCUAGACAUGUACACCUUACAAUCAUUCCAUACACCAAAUAUAGUAGACCUAUGGCAUACAGUAAUGAGAAAAACAGACCAAAACACAAAAACUUAACUAUAACCACUGAACCAUGAAAAUGAGGUCAAGGUCAGAUGACACCUGCCAGUUGGACAUGUACACCUUACAGUGCUUCCAUACACCGAAUAUACUAGACCUAUUGCUUAUAGUAUUUGAGAUAUGGACUUAACCACCAAAACUUAACCUUGUUCACUGAUCCAUGAAAUGAGGUCGAGGUCAAGUGAAAACUGUUUGACGGGCAUGAGGACCUUGCAAGCUACGCACAUACCAAAUAUAGUUAUCGUAUUACUU
rnacentral:lncRNA from 1 species